rnacentral:misc_RNA from 1 species
AAGUCGUAACAAGGUCUCCGUAGGUGAACCUGCGGAGGGAUCAUUACCGAGUGCGGGCCCUCGCGCCCAACCUCCAACCCUUUGUCGAUUCAUAACCGUUGCCUCGGGGGGCGACCCGGACGCGAGCCCGGGAGUCCCCCAGAGGUCCAAUCAAACACACUGCGUCUUUGCGUCGGAGUAUUGAAUAUAAAUCAAUCAAAA